rnacentral:ncRNA from 1 species
AGUGGGGAGCUCGCUGAAGCGGGCUGAGAGUAGACUGAUUGGUCUAGACCCGUAACCUGAUUUGGAUAAUGCCAACGUAGGGAAAUAU